AGUAUCUGGGAUGAUAUUUUGGCUCCCUCUGCUGAGACUUGUGAGGAGAUCUGCCAUCGUUACCCAAUAAUAUCUGAGAUCU
ensembl:snoRNA small nucleolar RNA SNORD100